GCCCCGUUAGCUCAGUCGGUAGAGCACCGCCAUGGUAAGGCGGUUGUCGCCGGUUCAAUUCCGGCACGGGGCU
rnacentral:tRNA from 2 species